rnacentral:tRNA from 1 species
AAGGGAGACCUAAUUCCGGUAGGAGACGAAAAAAAAGUAGUCCCAACCAAGAAUCAAUCCCAAAAGGUCGGAACGAGGUAUGAGGCUUUCAAACUAGGUUCUGGGUUCAUAAAAGACCUGAAUCAGGAACAAGGGCUAUUAGCUCAGGUGGUUAGAGCGCAUCCCUGAUAAGGGUGAGGUCCCUGGUUCGAGUCCAGGAUGGCCCACCUGCACAGGUGGCAAAAACAAGAGAAGCUCCGAAUCAGCACCUUAUCUUAUAUACAUAUAUAAGAGAGAAUGCUGGCUCUGAGUACAGAGUCCAGAGGAACCUUGAAAACUGCAUAGAGCUAGGUGAAAAAGCCAAAAAAGAAGACCGCAA